AGGAUGAACGCUGGCGGCGUGCCUAACACAUGCAAGUCGAACGUCCUGUCUCGCAAGAGGCAGGGAGUGGCGGACGGGUGAGUACCACGUGGGUCAUCUACCGUGAGGUGAGGAAUACCGGCGAGAAAUCGCCGACAAGACCGCAUAGGCUCGAUGCAAGUCGAGCAAAGCUCUUUCGAGAGAGGGAGCGCCACACGAGGAGCCUGCGCCCGAUUAGCUAGCUGGUGGAGUAACGGUUCACCAGGGCGACGAUCGGUAGCUGGUCUGAGAGGACGAUCAGCCACACUGGGAUUGAGAACGGCCCAGACUCCUACGGGGGGCAGCAGUGAGGAAUUUUCGUCAAUGGGGGCAACCCUGAACGAGCAACGCCGCGUGCAGGAAGAAGGUUUUCGGAUCGUAAACUGCUUUUCUCGGGGAAGAGGAACGGACGGUACCGAGGAAUCAGCCCGGCUAACUACGUGCCAGCAGCCGCGGU
rnacentral:rRNA from 1 species